rnacentral:rRNA from 1 species
CAGUAGCCGCGGUAAUACGUAGGGUGCAAGCGUUAAUCGGAAUUACUGGGCGUAAAGCGUGCGCAGGCGGUUCGCUAAGACAGAUGUGAAAUCCCCGGGCUCAACCUGGGAAUGGCGCUUGUGACUGCAAAGCUAGAGUGCGGCAGAGGGGGAUGGAAUUCCGCGUGUAGCAGUGAAAUGCGUAGAUAUGCGGAGGAACACCGAUGGCGAAGGCAGCCCCCUGGGCCAAUACUGACGCUCAUGCACGAAAGCGUGGGGAGCAAACAGGAUUAGAUACCCCCGUAGUCCCUGUCUCUUAUAC